rnacentral:lncRNA from 1 species
UGUGAUCAAACGCCCAGGAGCCAGCUGGUGAGAAAGGCUUCACUAACCUUCCUUGGAGACUGAGCUCAGGAACGACCACAUGAAUAAGUUCUGAACAAUAGGAUGUGACAAGAAGCACUGUUGUGGAUCACUUCUCAAAAUGAAUUUACUUGUUCUGUGUGUCUUCUUCCCCUCUCUUGAGGAUUGGCAUGGGAGUAUGAUGGGGAAGAGUCAUCUUUGCUCAUAAAGACAAUGGGGGAUGA